UACGGGGGAGGCAAGCGUUGUUCGGAAUUACUGGGCGUAAAGGGCUCGUAGGCGGCCAACUAAGUCAGACGUGAAAUCCCUCGGCUUAACCGGGGAACUGCGUCUGAUACUGGAUGGCUUGAGUUUGGGAGAGGGAUGCGGAAUUCCAGGUGUAGCGGUGAAAUGCGUAGAUAUCUGGAGGAACACCGGUGGCGAAGGCGGCAUCCUGGACCAACACUGACGCUGAGUGAGCGAAAGCCAGGGGAGCAAACGGG
rnacentral:rRNA from 1 species